CCACCCCUUCCCAGCCCUCAUUCUGGGGUUGGCAGUGAAUGUGAGAGCAUCUUGUUGUAGAUCUCUUCAUACCUGAGGCCUUCUAAAGUUGUGCAGAGGUGAAUGGAGCUGUCUAUUUCUCAUUGCGUGCAGUGAUGGAGACUGUCCUGCCCAGCAGAUUGCAGUGGAUACAUAAAUAAGAGCACAAAGCUGUUGUGCUGGCCCAUUAUGCUGCAGGUUCACUUGGUGUGACCUUCCCAAGGAACCCUUGCUCUCAGAUGUGAGCACAGCUCUGGGAGAAGAGCCCAGAGGGAGGGCCGAACCACUCCUGUUGUCAUGGAGACAGCAGGGACCAGGAGGAUGCUCCAGAGAGAAAGCCCAGGUGGAACUGGCUGCCCUGCCCCUCCUGCUCUGGGAUGGAGAACAAAGGGAUGCUGUGGGAAAGGCGUGACAGACAACACAGGCUAAGUCACAAUACAGCCCCAUGAAGCUGGAAGAGAGGAAUCACAAGUCUGGAACACAGGAAUAGCACAGAGUUGUUCCAGUUACAGCUAGCAAUUGUGGAAGAUGUUAAGCAUCCUGGGCUGUGCUCAACCACAUCCUCAGCUCUUAACUCUGCUGGCACAGAUUCUUUACCUGCUCUCACUGACAAGCUUCAGGGCAACCUCUAUGGGAGAUAGGGCUGCUUCCCUUAGCCCCAGUGUUUCUCCUUACCUUCAGUCCCAUGCCACGCAAAGGCUGCCGUGCAAAGGCUGCCUGAUGCGUCUUCCCAGCUCCUCCUUCAGCCUCCAGCCUGCUCUCAGUGAAGGAUUGCUGCUGCUAACAGAAUGGUCUGAAUUGAGCUGCCCUGGCAGACUGCACAGAGCCCACAGGCCAUAGGUUAAGUGCUCCUGUAACAAAGCACAGGCUCCUCAUGGGUCACUGGUAAAUACAGCAGAACUCUGGGCACUUUUAACCUCUUCCUGCAGAACCAAACCUCACAUUAACGCUGAGCAGAGCUGCCCAGUUCACCUGCAGUGAUGCUGUUGGCUCUUAUGGGACCACUGGGGGAGGUUGAGCAGAGGCAGCCCAGGCACUGCAUGGGUUAAGGAUGUCCUGACUUCAUGCACUGCAGCACUUACAGCUCCCCUGGGCUCCAUCCUGUGCUGUGCUAAGGCUCAUAGCCAGCUGAUUGGCAUGGGGUCCCACUGGGGCUUGAGACCAGAGAGCACAAGCAACUUCUUACAGUGAGAAAUCACAGCAGAGCUACUGUGUGGGCAGGGGGAAAUGGGGCUGCAAUCACAAUGUGCCUUGCCUGCCCACCUUCCACUGGGAUCAAUGCUCACCUCCAGCCACAGACAUUUCUUUCAGGCUCAACUACAUUCCAAAGUACCUAACUUCAGCACUGAGCACCACUUGCCCUCCAUUUCCCUGCCUCACUCUUCAUCAUUCCUGAUGCCAACAAGAAGUUAUAAUGUCCUACAAAAACAGGUUGUCUCCCAUCUCAUAUGCUUUCCCUGUUUCACCCUUGCAGUGCACACGCUGAAACCUCUGCCAUCUCAGUAGAUGCCAAGCAAUGAGUUACAACUGCUCUGGAGACACCCAGACAGGAAGAGGUUCCUGCCUGCUGACACCAACCUCAGCCUCUGCACCAACCUUGAGAUCUGCAGUUUGCUCCCAGAAACAUCGAUGCUCAGUCCUAAACCACACUGCUGUAACAGCAAAGCAGGUUGGCAAAAUAAAUCUGCCCACGCUACAUCCACCUACUGCUGGGCACAGAACGGUUUCCAUAUACAUUAUCCCACUGCACAACCUCAGAAGAGCAAUUAUUAAUGAGCAGAGAGACAAAGUCAUCCCACGCUUCCUCCCCUGCUCUGCGUUCCCAGCUCCCAAAGACACAUCACGUGCAGCAAACACCUUUUUAGCAGAGAUCUUCUAGCACAUUUCUAAACUUUUUUUCCUUUUCUAAGGCUGCAGUCAAAAUCCAUCAUAAGGAAUUGAUCUGGAGCACUCAGCAGUGAUCACCAGAGCAUGGAACUAAUAGAUUGGGAUUCAGGUCUGAUGUAUUUAUUUUGGGGGUGUAAUGCUAUAAUGUGAUGGAAAGCACAGCAGUAAUAGUUGGGUAGCAAAGUUUUAGGCUGCAGCAAGUGAGGAUAAGCCCAAGUGCAACAGCCAUGGACAUAGAAACAAAGGAAGAAAGCUGCUUAGCUUUGAAAGGCCUUGGGCAGGCAGGAUCUCCAGUGAGAUGCCCGUAUCUCUACUGCCAACCCUUAAAUGAGGGCUGGGAAGGGCUGGAUCCUGGCUGCAGCCCUUCCAUCACUUACACUGCAUGCACCUGAGCUGCCCUGUGCUGGCCCUGCCAUCCCACCAGGUCACCAUCACUGCUUCAGGCUGUGAUGACUCAGCAUUGCCACUACAGGGGGACCAAUAGAAUUUAUCAAAGGAAAAAAUCUAAUGCCUAAAUUCAAUUCUAGAAUUCAAUCUACAGACUCCGUAAUUCAUUUCUUUUUCAGUCAUCCUACCUGAGGGUGCAAUCCAAGAAACAGCUUUGGAUUUGAGAAUCGCUGCAGCAUCAUUCAAAUGAAAUUCACAGCUAAAAAUCAAAACUCCUUCCCAAGUAGUUGUGACAAGACAACAGACGGCAUUUUCUAGGACAGCAUCUGUUCAUUCCUGCAGACUGAAUAAUUCAGCCAGAAUAUGGGAGUUCCAAUGGAACUCAGGAGCCCAUUUUAAGGAGAAGCAGAACACGCAAUCAUUUCCUACUGAAAGCUGUUAGAGCUUCGUGUGUCCUCCUGCCUUCUCUCCUCUCUGUUCAGACCCAUUGGGAACCACCCAGGUCAACACAAAGAAAGGCCAGGUCUGUCUCCUGGUCCCCAGAACCAGUCCUCAAACAGCAGCGACUCUUCAGUCAUUUCUGUGAGACGUGGGAGAGGAAGAAUUUGUGCUCGAGGUCACACUUCAAAGAGGGAAAAUAGAAAUGACAGACAGAAGCAGGGACAGCUGUGAGCUUCACAGCCUGUUGGUUUUAGGUGUUCUGGAACAGAGAGUUAAACCAAGCACUCAAGUUCCCCUCCUAAAAAAAUCAUUAACAGGCGAUACAGUAAAUGCUAAUUACAAAUAUCAAACUGCUGCCAUGGGCUCUUCACAUCUUCAAAGUAUUUCCAAUCUGGCCAUCAACAAGAAGUGCACAACAGAACCGUAUCACACAUUGAGGUUUGUCUCCCUGAAUGCCCUCUUGUCUCUAACCCACCCGUGCUCCAACAUGAGGAUGUAACGCCAGUCAGGAGUCCCAGGCACUGCCUUAACAUCAUGCCCACAGAACCACAGGGUUGGAAGGGAUCUCUGGACAUCACCUUGUCCAUCCUCCCCCUGCCAAGGCAGGUUUCCUACCCAGGAAUGCAUCCCAUGACGCUGAGCUCUGCCAGCCACCAGCUCUGACCCACCUCACUGCUCACUUUUCUACCCCACACCUCCCCAGCUUACCAGCAAGGCUGUUCUGGGAGGCAGCAUCACAACCUUGCUGAAGUCAAGGUACACAACACCCACUGCUCUCCCAUUUACCAGCUGCCAUGGCAUCACAGAAGGCUACCAGAUUGGCCAAGCACAAUUCUCCCCUGGUGAAUCCAUGUUGACUAGUCCUGAUAACCUUCUUCUCUUCCAUCUCUUGGAGAUGACAUCCAGAACGAGGAGCUCCAUCACUUUCCCAGGGACAGAGAUGAGGCUGACCAGCCUGUUGUUUCCCAGCUCCUUCUUGCCCUUUUUGAGGACUGGAGCCACACCAGCUUUCCUCCAGCCCUCAGGCACUUCUCCUUUUCUCCAUGACCUUUCAAAAGCAGCUGGACCAUCACUUCUGCAUCACAUUGUGGCCCACAGGUUUGUGUGCACUGAGGUUGCCUAGACAACCUCUAACCAAGUAGAUUCUCCUCAACCAAGGGGAAGUUUUCCUUUCCCCUGACUUUCUCCUUCUCUCUGCAAAGGCCAGCAGGAUCACAAGACUCUGGGCAAGGCAGAAGAGUCAAUCUCACUAUCAGCACAUUUCUUCAAAGAUGGGAAGUAAAGAAGAGGUGGACAAGGAGGUGGGAAAAGGUCUCCCCAGGUUUGAAAAGGACAAAGAGGGAGGCAAGACUAUGAAUAAAGAGAAGAAACAGUCUGGAAGUUAAAGUGUUUAUUGAUGUGUUUAAACUUUGUACAUUCCCCACAGACCACACUAAGGAGUUUGCAGGUAAAUCUGUGCAUAGUGGGAAGAGACAUGGAAGGGAAAAGAAAGUAAAGUCACAGGAGAAAUAGAAAAAAUACACCACAGGUUACCAGAACCUCCAGAUUUAAAAAAGCCGUGAGCAUUAACACCAACUAUACAAGCAUUACAAAGACAAGAUGGUGAGCAGAACAAUACCCCUUUUGUUCUUCUCGGGGCCUUGCAUCCAAUUUCCCUUUAAGCAGGCAGAAUCCCUUUCCCAACUUAUCCCUCUCUCCUCUCCCCACGUUCAUCAGCUCCCAAGGUGCCAUCGCAGUGAUUUGUCAUUCUGGGAAAGACCCAAAGCCGUGCCUACAGCCCAACAGCACUGGAAGAGAUGCAAAGGCUCAAAACACUGCACCUCUGUAACUACUUACCAUGUUGGUGAGGCAGGAGAGCUGGGGAAAAUUAGAAAGUAGUAGCAAAAGGGGCUGUUAAUGCCAGGUGAGUACUGAAGGAAACUGGUUGAGAACAGAGGAUUUAAAUUCAAUACCAGGAACUUCCAACUCUAAAGCAGAACUGAAUCUGAAAGGGGAAUGUGCAGACCCCAGUAUGCACAAACCAUGUUCUAACAUUCCACUAGAGUAACUAUAAACAGAGAUGCUAGAAGCCUUUUAACUCCUUGCCUCCAGGGAGUCUUGAUUCCUAGAGCCCACACUGCUAAGCAGCAGGGUGCACAUUACUGGUGUAUGAGGAUGGGUUUUUUCUUUUUUUUUUUCCUUUUUUUUUUUCCUCAUUCUAAGGAUUUUUGUUCGUUGCCAUUCCAAAUUCCUUCCUUGUUUAUGCUGUCAUAGUUCCUAUCCCUAAAUUAAUCUCUUUGCAACUCCCAGCAAAAUUCACUUAAAGAAAAAAAAAA